UUAUACGCGCGAUUCCCCUUUGAGUUUGAUCCUGGCUCGGAUGAAUGUUGGCGGCGUGCCUGAGAUAUGCAAGUCGAGCGUUUCCCGACGCAAGUCGGGAGAGCGGCGGACGGCUGAGUAACACGUAGGAACCUGCCCCUUUUUGGAGGAUAGCCCCGCGAAAGCGGGGAUAAUACUUCAUGGUUCCCGCCUUUGGCGGGAUAAAGGACGUAACUGUUCGAAAAGGGAUGGUCCUGCGGCUUAUCAGGUAGUUGGUAGGGUAACGGCCUACCAAGCCUAUGACGAGUAGCUGGCCCGAGAGGGUGGUCAGCCAGAGGGGGACUGAGACACGGCCCCCACUCCUACGGGAGGCAGCAAUCAGGAAUAGUCGGCAAUGGGCGAAAGCCUGACCGCGCGACGCCGCGUGUAGGAUGAAGCUCUAAUCGAGCGUAAACUACUGUGGUAGGGGAAGAAGUCCAGCUUAGCUGGAUUGACGGUACCCUACUAGAAAGGGGCCGCUAACUGCGUGCCAGAAGCGUCGGUAAUACGUGGGCCCCAAACAUUAUCCGGUUUUACUGGGUGUAAAAAGUAGUGUAGGCGGUCUGAUAAGUCUUGUCUUAAAUUCUGUGGCUCAACCAUAGAAAAGGGCGGGAAACUACCAGACUAGAAUUUUCUUUAGGGAGACUGGAACUUAGGGAGGAGUAGUGAAAUGCGUUGAUACCCUAGGGAACACCGGUGGCGAAGGCGAGUCUCUGGAAGAAAAUUGACGCUGAGACACGAAAGCUAGGGGAGCGAAGCAGAUUAGAGACCUGCGUAGUCCUAGCCUUAAACGCAUGCUUGCUAGCUGCAUCGAUCCUGCCGCAAGGCGGGAUGGUGUGGCGAAGGUAACCCAUUAAGCAAGCUACCUGGGGAGUACGGCCGCAAGGUUGAAACUCAAAGGAAUUGGCGGGGAGGCACACAACCAGUGGAACAUGUGGUUCAAUUCGAAACGAACCGAAGAACCUCACCAGGGUUUGACAUCCAAGCGUCCUAUUUCAUGGAAACAUGGAAAAUUCGUAAGAAGGCUUGGACAGGUGCUGCAUGGCUGUCGUCAGCUCGUUCCGUGAGGAGUGCCCUUAAGUGGGACAACGAGCGCAACCCCUAUCCUGUGUUAAAUCUGUCACAGGAAACUGCUCCGCCUUUGGCGGAGAGGAAGGAGGGGCAGACGUCAAGUCAGCAUGGUCCUUAUACCCUGGGCUACACACAUGUUACAAUGGAUAGCCACAACGGGUUUUGCUAGCCUGCAAAGGUAUGCAAAUCCCAAAAACUGUUCUCAGUGGGGAUUGAGGUCUGCAACCCGACCUCAUGAACACGGAAUUGGUAGUAAUCGCGGAUCAGCUAUGCCGCGGUGAAUACGUUCUUGCCUCUUGCACACACCGCCCGUCAAGCCAACAAAGUCGGAAAAAUUUGAAGGCCGCUUUAACGGUCGAGGAUUUAUUCGGCGAUGGGGGUUAAGUCGUAACAAGGUAACC
rnacentral:rRNA from 1 species